rnacentral:tRNA from 1 species
GGCUCGGUGGUGUAGUUGGUUAUCACGUCAGUCUAACAAGAGCGCAAGACAAGCCCUCGGAUCACUGAAGGUCCCGAGUUCAAACCUCGGCUGAGUCA